AAGACAUCCGGUGGACAUUGACGUUUGAAUGCCUUGAAACGCCUCCAUGCUUCCCCUAGUGUUUCCAUUGAACCUUGCUUAAAGUUUUGAAUUUGUUUCCGGAUUUU